rnacentral:rRNA from 1 species
UACGUAGGGGGCUAGCGUUGUCCGGAAUCAUUGGGCGUAAAGCGCGCGUAGGCGGCCAGAUAAGUCCGGUGUGAAAGUCACAGGCUCAACCUGUGAAUGCCGCUGGAAACUGUCUGGCUAGAGUCCGGAAGAGGAGAGUGGAAUUCCUGGUGUAGCGGUGAAAUGCGCAGAUAUCAGGAGGAACACCCGUGGCGAAAGCGGCUCUCUGGGACGGUACUGACGCUGAGACGCGAAAGCGUGGGGAGCAAACAGG